UCGAGAGUAUUUAGCAAUGGGCGAAAGCCUGACUAUGCGACGCCGCGUGAAGGAUGAAGGUCUUCGGAUUGUAAACUUCUUUUGUCAGAGAAGAACCCUCUGCAGUUAAUAGCUGCAGGGCUGACGGUACCUGACGAAUAAGCCACGGCCAACUCCGUGCCAGCAGCCGCGGUAAUACGGAGGUGGCAAGCGUUACUCGGAAUCAUUGGGUGUAAAGGGCAAGUAGGCGGUUUGUUAAGUGAGGGGUGAAAUCUCUCGAUUCAAUCGGGAGACUGCCUUUCAAACUAUCAAACUUGAAGCAGGAAGAGGGAAAUGGAAUUCUCGGUGUAAGGGUGAAAUCUGUAGAUAUCGAGAAGAACACCAGCGGCGAAGGCGAUUUCCUGGUCCUGUCUUGACGCUAAAUUGCGAAAGCUAGGGGAGCAAACA
rnacentral:rRNA from 1 species